UACGGAGGGGGCUAGCGUUGUUCGGAAUUACUGGGCGUAAAGCGCGCGUAGGCGGCUUUGUAAGUUAGAGGUGAAAGCCCGGGGCUCAACUCCGGAAUUGCCUUUAAGACUGCAUCGCUAGAAUUGUGGAGAGGUAAGCGGAAUUUCCGGUGUAGCGGUGAAAUGCGUAGAUAUCGGAAGGAACAUCAGUGGCGAAAGCGGCUUCCUGGACCAGAACUGACGAUCAGGCUCGAAAGCGUGGGGAGCAAACAGG
rnacentral:rRNA from 1 species